rnacentral:lncRNA from 1 species
AUGACUGCAUUGUACUUUUCUCAGACACGUUUCCACAAAAGAGAUCAGGAAGCAUUAGAGCAUACAUGGUUUCCUGGGAAACAGCUCAGACCUCGUGGAACAAAUACAGACACAACAGAGAACGUGACCCCAAGCCUGAAAUCCAUUCCACUUCCUUCAUUGGUACAAGUGCCUGAAGAGGGAGACCAGACACUGCCGUUUUAUGGAUGUGCACACUGCAGGAUUUCUCUCUCAGGCCCGGCUUGGGGUGGGAAGAACAGUGCCCAUGGCAUUGUUAAAUCUAGGAUCUCAUGCCUGGCCUGUCUUGUUCCCUGGACGGGAUGUUCGUGCAGCAUUGACCAGAUAAAGUGAAUGAUAAGCAGAACCAGUAGGAAUGUCUUCCAGGGGCUCACGGGAUCCAGGUCCAGUCACCCCAGACCGUAGUCACUGAAAUUGGUGACAGACGCUGACCUGAGCUAACGGCUUCUGUGAGUGGGGCAAGAAGAUGAAGAUGGGCUCAAAGAAAGUGUUGAAUCAGCGUCCAGUGUGUGCUCUUAGGGUUCUGGGCAGCGAGAGAGGAGAGUCCAGGAUAGCUUUAAGCCGAGAAAUCGUGAGGUCAAGGAAGAAUUUCUGAUCUAGGCAUUGCAGCGAGUUCACAUUUCAGAGACAUUCUUCACUGCAAACAGAUAGCAAUGAAAAAAUAAAGCAUAAAAUUAAAAAAGAAAUGUGGCUUGGCUUCAAUACAGAAUGAAUGUUUCUCUAGAUCACAAAACAUAGAAAAGCAAAUAUUUGAGGAAAGACGCUCGUUAUCACAGUGAGUUAUCUCUGUUGGUUAAGAGGGACAUAAAAAUGUUCCAUAGAAGAUGGGUCUCCUUGAGCCGGGCGCACUGUUGGAAAUCAGGGGCCGUUCUCAAGCCCUGCACCCAAUAUGAAAGAGGGGCAGGGCUGGGACUACAGUCAGUGGCCGAUCAACACUUAGCAUGCUUGGGCCUGGCUUCAGCCCUGGCACUGGAAAAAAGAGCAGGAAUAGCACAUGUAAAGUGAAAGGUUCAUUUUAUAAGCAUUAUCAAAAGUUGAACAUGAAGAAGAUCAUACUUCAUAACACUAAAUUAAAAUACUAGUAAAUCCAGAAGUUUAGCUACAUUAGUAAUUUCCUGGAAACGUAAACUAGCAUGAAGAAUAAGAUACCCAAAUUAAGAACCAUAAAAGAAAUUAAGUUAGUAAGAAAAUUUCUCAUUCCCCUUAAAAGUCCAGGUGGCCAGAAAGGGUUGAAAGGCCUAUUUUAAC